rnacentral:rRNA from 1 species
CCUACGGGAGUCUGCAGUGGGGAAUAUUGGACAAUGGGCGAAAGCCUGAUCCAGCCAUGCCGCGUGUGUGAAGAAGGCCUUCGGGUUGUAAAGCACUUUCAGUGGGGAAGAAAGCCUUGGGGCUAAUACCCUCGAGGAAGGACAUCACCCACAGAAGAAGCACCGGCUAACUCCGUGCCAGCAGCCGCGGUAAUACGGAGGGUGCGAGCGUUAAUCGGAAUUACUGGGCGUAAAGCGCGCGUAGGCGGUCUGAUAAGCCGGUUGUGAAAGCCCCGGGCUCAACCUGGGAACGGCAUCCGGAACUGUCAGGCUAGAGUGCAGGAGAGGAAGGUAGAAUUCCCGGUGUAGCGGUGAAAUGCGUAGAGAUCGGGAGGAAUACCAGUGGCGAAGGCGGCCUUCUGGACUGACACUGACGCUGAGGUGCGAAAGCGUGGGUAGCAAACAGGAUUGGAUACCCUUGUAGUC